GCUACACAAACUCACAUUCCUAUCAAAUGCUGCAUUAUAAAUAGAGAGGUGACACGCAUGUUAAGCACAAGUUAAUUUUUUCUUCUGAGACAGAAAGUGAUUCCUUUAGCAUCCACCGAAGAGACAAAAUGAGUGAUCCAGCUGCGGAUAAGAAGCCUGAAGAAGCAGGAUCUGAUCAUUCAGAGUCUGAAGGAUCCGGUUCUGAAGGAGUAA